rnacentral:miRNA from 1 species
CGCUUCUUUGGUGCCCUCAGCC